UCCUCAUGGCCCUUAUGUCCAGGGCUACACACGUGCUACAAUGGCCGGUACAAAGGGCAGCAAAGCCGCGAGGUGGAGCCAAUCCCAGAAAGCCGGUCUCAAGUUCGGAUUGGAGUCUGCAACUCGACUCCAUGAAGUUGGAAUCGCUAGUAAUCGCGGAUCAGCAUGCCGCGGUGAAUACGUUCCCGGGCCUU
rnacentral:rRNA from 1 species